GGGCGCGCAGCGCCGGCGCAGGCGCGGAGGGGCGCGCAGCGCCGGCGCAGGCGCGGAGGGGCGCGCAGCGCCGGCGCAGGCGCGGAGGGGCGCGCAGCGCCGGCGCAGGCGCGGAGGGGCGCGCAGCGCCGGCGCAGGCGCAGGCGCGGAGGGGCGCGCAGCGCCGGCGCAGGCGCAGGCGCGGAGGGGCGCGCCCGAACCCGAACCCUAAUGCCGUCAUAAGAGCCCUAGGGAGACCUUAGGGAACAAGCAUUAAACUGACACUCGAUUCUGUAGCCGGCUCUGCCAAGAGACAUGGCGUUGCGGUGAUAUGAGGGCAGGGGUCAUGGAAGAAAGCCUUCUGGUUUUAGACCCACAGGAAGAUCUGUGACGCGCUCUUGGGUAGAGCACACGUUGCUGGGCGUGCGCUUGAAAAGAGCCUAAGAAGAGGGGGCGUCUGGAAGGAACCGCAACGCCAAGGGAGGGUGUCCAGCCUUCCCGCUUCAACACCUGGACACAUUCUGGAAAGUUUCCUAAGAAAGCCAGAAAAAUAAUUUAAAAAAAAAUCCAGAGGCCAGACGGGCUAAUGGGGCUUUACUGCGACUAUCUGGCUUAAUCCUCCAAACAACCUUGCCAUACCAGCCCAUCAGUCCUCUGAGACAGGUGAAGAACCUGAGGUCGCAGGAGGACACCCAGAAGGUCCAGAGAGAGCCUCCUAGGCCCCCCACCUCCCCCCGUGGCAGCUCCAACCCCAGCUUUUUCACUAGUAAGGCAGUCGGGCCCCUGGGCCACGCCCACUCCCCCAAGCGGGGAAGGAGCUUCGCGCUGCCGCUUGGCUGGGGACUGGGCACCGCCCUCCCGCGGCUCCUGAGCCGGCUGCCACCAGGGGUGCGCGCCAGCGGUGUCCGGGAGCCUAGCGGCGCGUGUGCAGCGGCCAGUGCACCUGCUCUGGCCCUCGCCGCGGUCUCUGCCAGGACCCCGACGCCCAGCCUGACCCUGCCAUUCAGCGGGGCUGCGGCUCCACGGCCUGCGACAGCAGCCCCACCUGGCAUUCAGCGCGCUCCCGGGGGCAGAGGUCGCGGUGUCCUCACGCUGUGGUGCCGGCCUACAACCCCCACGCCGGGCUCGGGCCCGGCGGAGGAGGGCGAUGCUCCCCGGGUAGGACAAACCGGUCACCUGGGCUGCGAGGGCGGCUUAGGGGCAGAAGCGGCGGUCCAGGGCCGCCUGGCGCAGCAGCCUGUCCCAGCCGCGGUCCCUGCAGUCCCUCCCUGGCGGCUGCGCAGCCGUCCCACGACAGGGGCCAUAAACUCUCCAGAGCGGAAAGCCGCACCCUGGUGGCCCGGCCCCGCGCCCAGACCUGGCGGCCGCUGGCACCUGACCCGCUGCAUGGGUCUCCAGGGAGCUCGCUGCCCACCCGGCGCUGCAGGCUCGGCUCCCUCGUACACUCUCUGGCAAGCCCAAGAAAGUCAGGGGCCUAUGUGAGCCAAAGAGGAGAGAAGGUGAUGCCUCAGCCCAGUGUUUCUGCCCCACCUCGCUUGUGGCCUUCGGAACUUGAUUUGCACCGCAGGAAAAUGGGCAAUGAAAACCCCUCCCUAACUGGCUUCUCAGUCCACUCUGACCAGCCCACUGCACAGCGCCCACCCUGCAGCUCCAGGUACAGAGGCUGGGAUGGCUCUGGGCUGACCUAAGGGCCUUCUGAUGGCUCCAACCCUCGGGAUGCCUCAUGCUCACCCUUUGGCACCCACCUGACAGCUCAGCAUCUCUGCUCUCUGCCAUCCUCAAUGCCUGCUCUAGACAAGCCCAAGUCCCCCAGGAGUGGCAGAGGGAACUGAGCUGAAAACUAAGUCUCGGCUCACUGAACCCCAAGUGGGCUGUCCAGCCUCGCCCUUCAGUUCACAACCCCAGGCAGGUUCCCUCCAGGGAUGUGAUCCCAGGGGCCACAGCAGCACA
rnacentral:lncRNA from 10 species